rnacentral:rRNA from 1 species
GUUGCAGGGUAUAGACCCGAAACCCGGUGAUCUAGCCAUGGGCAGGUUGAAGGUUGGGUAACACUAACUGGAGGACCGAACCGACUAAUGUUGAAAAAUUAGCGGAUGACUUGUGGCUGGGGGUGAAAGGCCAAUCAAACCGGGAGAUAGCUGGUUCUCCCCGAAAGCUAUUUAGGUAGCGCCUCGUGAAUUCAUCUCCGGGGGUAGAGCACUGUUUCGGCAAGGGGGUCAUCCCGACUUACCAACCCGAUGCAAACUGCGAAUACCGGAGAAUGUUAUCACGGGAGACACACGGCGGGUGCUAACGUCCGUCGUGAAGAGGGAAACAACCCAGACCGCCAGCUAAGGUCCCAAAGUCAUGGUUAAGUGGGAAACGAUGUGGGAAGGCCCAGACAGCCAGGAUGUUGGCUUAGAAGCAGCCAUCAUUUAAAGAAAGCGUAAUAGCUCACUGGUCGAGUCGGCCUGCGCGGAAGAUGUAACGGGGCUAAACCAUGCACCGAAGCUGCGGCAGCGACACUAUGUGUUGUUGGGUAGGGGAGCGUUCUGUAAGCCUGUGAAGGUGGCCUGUGAGGGUUGCUGGAGGUAUCAGAAGUGCGAAUGCUGACAUAAGUAACGAUAAAGCGGGUGAAAAGCCCGCUCGCCGGAAGACCAAGGGUUCCUGUCCAACGUUAAUCGGGGCAGGGUGAGUCGACCCCUAAGGCGAGGCCGAAAGGCGUAGUCGAUGGGAAACAGGUUAAUAUUCCUGUACUUGGUGUUACUGCGAAGGGGGGACGGAGAAGGCUAUGUUGGCCGGGCGACGGUUGUCCCGGUUUAAGCGUGUAGGCUGGUUUUCCAGGCAAAUCCGGAAAACCAAGGCUGAGGCGUGAUGACGAGGCACUACGGUGCUGAAGCGACAAAUGCCCUGCUUCCAGGAAAAGCCUCUAAGCAUCAGGUAACAUCAAAUCGUACCCCAAACCGACACAGGUGGUCAGGUAGAGAAUACCAAGGCGCUUGAGAGAACUCGGGUGAAGGAACUAGGCAAAAUGGUGCCGUAACUUCGGGAGAAGGCACGCUGAUAUGUAGGUGAAGCGACUUGCUCGUGGAGCUGAAAUCAGUCGAAGAUACCAGCUGGCUGCAACUGUUUAUUAAAAACACAGCACUGUGCAAACACGAAA